rnacentral:rRNA from 1 species
GUGGAUUAGAUACCCUAGUAGUCCACGCCGUAAACGAUGAGCACUAGGUAUUGGGGUCGCAAGACUUCGGUGCCGUAGUUAACGCAUUAAGUGCUCCGCCUGGGGAGUACGCACGCAAGUGUGAAACUCAAAGGAAUUGACGGGGACCCGCACAAGCAGCGGAGCAUGUGGUUUAAUUCGAAGCAACGCGAAGAACCUUACCAGGACUUGACAUCCCGAUGACCGGUCCUUAACCGGACCUUCUCUUCGGAGCAUCGGUGACAGGUGGUGCACGGCCGUCGACAACU